rnacentral:rRNA from 1 species
UCAAGAAACUUCCACAAUGGGCGAAAGCCUGAUGGAGCGACGUCGCGUGAUGGACGAAGUGCUUCGGCACGUAAACAUCUUUUUAUGUGGGAUGAAAUUAUUGACAGUACCACAUGAAUAAGGGGCUCCUAACUCUGUGCCAGCAGGAGCGGUAAUACAGAGGCCCCAAGCGUUAUCCGGAAUCACUGGGCGUAAAGGUGUCGAGGCGGUUGUAUUAGUCGUUCGUAAAAUCUACGAGCUUAACUUGUAGGCGGCGAACGAAACGGUACGACUUGAGGUUUGGAGAGGUGCGUGGAACUCACGGUGUAGGGGUGAAAUCCGUUGAUAUCGUGGGGAACACCAAAGGCGAAGGCAGCGCACUGGCCAAAAUCUGACGCUCACACACGAAAGCUAGGGUAGCGAAGAGGAUUAGAUACCCGAGUAGUCCCUGAGCGGGCUGGCAAGGCGCAU